AUAAGACCUGUUCUAGUAGAUGUUGGAGGUUGCUCAAUUUUUUCGAUAUUCACGAUAAAUUCAAGGGUAUCUGGCCAACACCUCCGCCCAUAAAUACGUCGAUUUCUCCAAUCAACUCCGCAGCCUGCCAAUUAUCAACCUCACAAGUUUUCAAAGGUUCGGAUCUCUCGAGUAUUAAACUUAAUCGCCGGUUGAAGAAAACGACGUUCGAUCGGCUGGUUUUGGCGUUUGAUUGAAGCAAAUCGAACGGUUGUUUGAUCUAAUAUCACCAUGAAUCGUUUGUCUUCGCGUACCACUUCAAGGAUUUUCACGAUUGUUUGAAUUAAGAGAUAUAUAGAUCGUCUUCUGCCAUCGUUUACCAGUUCGAGGGUUCUCUUAACUGGAUGUACUUGAAGAUCGACGGAGAUUUUUUUGUUCAAAUCAGAAGAAAAGGAGACGUUUUUAAUUUGGGGUUUUGAUCUGAAGGCAGCUCAAACAUUGAACACAGAAGCUGAUAGUGGUACAAAACCUGUUUCAACUGCAAUGGAUCUGGAACUUGUGAAGUUUAUCAACUCAGAUCUUACAUGGAAUGCUGUUAAAAAGCGCCAUAGGAGCAUGAUGAGGCGCCCAAGGAAGCCAGCAGCAAGCAAUUCAGCCAUUAAAAUGCAGGAAUCUGUAGCUUUUGAUUAUGAAAAGUCUGGUGUAGCCAUUCUUGGUCAACACUUUGGUGAAGAAGUAGUUGAUGUUCCUAUAAAGAAAAGAAUUCUUAUGCUUCAGUCUCCAUCUCUGAGCAAUGAAAAGGCUAGGUCAACUCAACCUCAUUCUCCCUCUCCUCAUCAUGAGAAACAAGAGUGUCAUUCAAUGAAGUCAAAACUGAUAGAGAAAGAGAUUCCUGAUCUGAAUGACUUCUUUGGUAUAGAACUUCUUGCAGCUGCAGCAUGCCAUACCUCUGUUUAUGACACCCCUGCUCCCAUGGAGUCUUCUGCAGUCGAAGAACACACAACAACAAGAGUUGUCGAAUCAUACACCGAUGGUGUAACUGUAAAAGACGAUAUUGCCCCUGUUGACUCAGAUGAUUCAUCAGUUCAAGAUAACACAUUCCCAGUUAUUAUUACAACCGAUAAUGGGAACAGCGAGGGUGAUAAAGCAUCUGUUCCUUCAAAAGAUGUUAGGUUGCAUUGGGAUUUGAACACUGUAAUGGAUGAAUGGGAAGAACCCUGUUGUGAUAUUCUUGUUGACCCUCAUUCUGAAAAAGGGUAUCUAAAAGAUGAUGAUUCUCAACAGGUGAAAUCAGAUGCAAUAGAUAAUAAGUCUGAAGGUAUCCAGGCUGUUUCUGAAGUAGUACAAGGUGGAUCAUGUCAAGAUGAUAAGGUUUCUUCAGAAGAUCGUCUCAGUGAUUGCUGUGGGUCAAACAAAGUCAAAGCAGGAGGAGGCUAUGAUUCUCCUGUUGAAGAUGGUGAGUUAAGAGACACGUGGCAAAAGAAUGAAGUGGAAGAAAUGGAGUGUGUGGACUAUGAAUCAGAUAACAUAUAUGAAGAUAACUUUGAUGCUAUUGAAUCAGUUAACAAUGAAGUCAUUGAAACACUUCCCAACAAUGAAAUCGAACAAGAUGAUAAGAAAAACAUCCCAAGUAUAUCAAACCAGAUUCCGGAACCUUCCCAAUCAGAAGAAAAGGGUAGAACAUCGUCUUUUGGUGUUCAUAGAAGCAGAUCUGAAAACUUUCAAGAUUCUUAUUCAAGGGGUAAGAGGGAUUUUGGUCAAGAAAAGUCAACGGGAAGAGAUGGAGCAUCUUACCAUGGUUGGGAUUCAAGAAACACUCAGAAUCACAGGUACUGUAAUAACAGGCCAAAACAUGUGAUUGGAGGUUACAAUCAAAGAUCCAGUUCUUACAAGACAUUUAACACAAAACCAGAAAGAAAUGAAUCUUAUGGUGUUUAUAGUCGUGAGAGAGUUAAAGGUGGAUUAGGGUUUCAUCAACAAGGUUCAAGAAGAGGUGAAGACUACAAUGGUCAUGAUCAAGAAAGAAAAGUCUCUUCCUUUUCUCCUAGUUUCACCCGUGGGCCCCAUCUUUCAAGAUCUAGAAGACGAUCUAGGUCAAGAUCAAGGUCAGAGUCUCCAAUUGCAUGGAAUUUUCAGAAGAAAAGCAAAGUGGAUACAAAAAGAGAAAGAGAAAGUCCAGAUCAUAUUCAUAUUCAUAGGGCUGAUAAAUACAAUAGCAAUAUCAAUGGUGAAUCUAGAGACAGGAAUAAUCUUGGAAGAAAUGGAAUGAAGUCAAGUGAUCAUUUUUACCCUAAUUUUUCACGUUCUGGAAGGUAUCCACCACAAGGAAGUGGUCAAUAUGAUGAAAAAUACGGAGGGCGUUUUCGGUAUUAUCAUAAAGAUAAUGGGUUCAGAUACACUCGUAAUGAAAAUAGGUACUUCAAAGAUCCAGUUGGAGAUGGAGUCGAAUGAUUGCUUCUGAUUCACAAGGGGAUUAUUAGUUGAUGAACAAAUCGCUGCCACGUCAUCCCUCAUCAUCUUUGGACCACUUACAAGAACUCCAAUUCUAGAUCCUUCACAUUCUGUAGUUUUCUUACUCUUGAAAUCUGGUCUUUCUCCAUAGUUAACAUUAGUAGAAGCUCCGAUUAAAGAUUCAUAAGAAAGACUUUCCAUCUCUCUAUCCUCAUUAUAACACCAAGAACUCAACCCAGGAGACGCCAAUGGCGAGGGUAAAUCCGUCAUUUGAAUCUGCCCCAUUUCUUUCAAAUUCCUUCUCUUGUUCCACAGAAAAGCGAUAGAUACAGUUACAGAUAUAGCUGUGCAUAUAAACACCAUACUACAAACCGACCUUACAGAAUACGAAUAUAUCAUAUUUGUACCCUUAUCGAUCGGGUAUAUAUAAAAUCUUGUGAAAAGCGCGAUAAACACAAGGGAAAUGAUAAAAGAGAACACAAUUAUCAUUCCCAACCAAAUCCAGUUAUUUUGCCCUAAAAUUGGAGAAAUUGGUGCAUCAAGGGGAUUCGAUUUGAACCAUAUUGUUUUGUGAAGGUGUUGUUCUUCAGUUGUGUGCCCUAUUUCUUGUGUUACGUAAGGGCAGAUUUGUAAUUUCAAGCGAGAUAUAUCAAGUGUAGUGGGUGAAACAGGAAGGAUAAGUUGUAGCAUCGCAAGAUCUUCAGAUUUUUUGAAAGAUGGGAUAAGGAGAAUUUGUGGUGUGUUGUUUUCCAUGUGAAGAAGCUCACGAAUUAUGGAGAUAAAUGGAGUGAUCCCACUUCCACCACUAAACAUCACAAGCUUGUCAUACCUGUGUUAAUUUUUAUAAUUUUUUAUUGUUAAAUCAUAAAACUUUUGGAAGUUUCUCGAUUUUGACCAUUUUAUAUAACAAACAAAUAAAUUGGUUUGC